UGGGGAAUAUUGCACAAUGGGCGCAAGCCUGAUGCAGCCAUGCCGCGUGUAUGAAGAAGGCCUUCGGGUUGUAAAGUACUUUCAGCGGGGAGGAAGGGAGUAAAGUUAAUACCUUUGCUCAUUGACGUUACCCGCAGAAGAAGCACCGGCUAACUCCGUGCCAGCAGCCGCGGUAAUACGGAGGGUGCAAGCGUUAAUCGGAAUUACUGGGCGUAAAGCGCACGCAGGCGGUUUCUUAAGUCUGAUGUGAAAGCCCCCGGCUCAACCGGGGAGGGUCAUUGGAAACUGGGAGACUUGAGUGCAGAAGAGGAGAGUGGAAUUCCAUGUGUAGCGGUGAAAUGCGUAGAUAUAUGGAGGAACACCAGUGGCGAAGGCGGCUCUCUGGGCUGUAACUGACGCUGAGGCUCGAAAGCGUGGGGAGCAAACAGG
rnacentral:rRNA from 1 species